GACGAACGCUGGCGGCGUGCCUAACACAUGCAAGUCGAGCGGGGAGACGCCUUCGGGUGUCUUCUAGCGGCGGACGGGUGAGUAACGCGUGAGCAACCUUUCCUUCACAGGGGGAUAACGCAGCGAAAGUUGUGCUAAUACCGCAUGAGACCACGGGACUACAUGGUUCAGGGGUCAAAGGAGCAAUCCGGUGAAGGGUGGGCUCGCGUCUGAUUAGCUAGUUGGCGGGGUAACGGCCCACCAAGGCGACGAUCAGUAGCCGACCUGAGAGGGUGAUCGGCCACACUGGGACUGAGACACGGCCCAGACUCCUACGGGAGGCAGCAGUGGGGAAUAUUGCACAAUGGGCGCAAGCCUGAUGCAGCGACGCCGCGUGAGCGAUGAAGUAUUUCGGUAUGUAAAGCUCUAUCAGCAGGGAAGAUAAUGACGGUACCUGACUAAGAAGCACCGGCUAAAUACGUGCCAGCAGCCGCGGUAACAC
rnacentral:rRNA from 1 species